GCUGCCGUCCGAGCGUAGUGUCCUGACCGGGUCGUCCGUUUCUCAGUGCGGACCCGGGAUCCUCAAAGAAAAAGGGAGUGAGGAUAAAGGGAAUGUAGAGUUGAGGGUUUGUUUUUUCUUUGUUUCCCCAGUGUGGAAAGGAAUGGAAGAUGUUCAGUGCACCUGCACGUGACCCCAAAAUUUAGUCGGGAAGCUGGGUGUUUCACCUCCAGUGAAAGCAAGUGGGCGUGAUAGGAGAGGCUUGGAAAAAGAUCGAGCAGGGGAAGAGAGAGAUGUCGGCAUCUUCUCUCCCUCCUGCAUAAGACCCUUCCAGUAUGUAAUCACUGACCUGGAGAAAUAAUGCCCGAGUACAGAGUACGGGGCAGAGUUCCAGGUGUCACUGUGCACCCAACCCCCACGAGCUUUGUGAUUCAUCGCAAACGGCCGAUCCGGAAGGAUGAGUAAACUCCGCAAGUACAGUCGUGUCACAGGAAAUAAGUGACCAUGGUGCUCAACAGUUUGGAUAAGAUGAUUCAACUCCAGAAAAACACGGCUAACAUCAGGAAUACCUGUGUUUUGGCUCAUGUUGACCAUGGAAAAACUACUCUGGCUGACUGUCUUAUAUCUAGCAAUGGCAUCAUCUCCAGUCGCCUGGCAGGCAAGGUAUGUUAUAUUUGAUAUAUACCUGCAUUUCAGUAAGUAUUAGCAAAUUUACAAUGUGUUGAGUCCUUCGUUGUGUUCCUAAAGAUCGAAAAAGUAUGAAGCAUAGUUCAUGCAUCUAAGAAGCUGGCAAUUCAUUUAGCAAGAUAAAAUAGAUUGUUGAGAUAAAGUUAUUUCUAGAUUGCUUUAUGUUACUUUAUAUUAAUAUUUUAUAAAUGCAAGAAUGAGUUUUUGCAACCAAUCAUUUGAAAACCUGGCAUGACUGUGGAAAAUUUCACAGGUGGAAGAGAUGCUUCACAGUGGGUAAUAAUGUGGAUAAAAUGCAUAAAGGCUAAUUUGUGGAUUGUGCUUGAUUUGAGUGGAACGUUUGCCUAUACUGAGAGAGAAAAAGGUGCAGGUAGAAAAAAUGUAUCAGAUUACAGAGACCUUGAAGGCUAACCUAAGUACCAAAGAAGGCUUCUGAAGCCUGAGGGUCAUGAUGAAGAUCAUGUUUUACGAAAUGAAAUGAUAGAGACCUUUGUUUUUAACUGUGAACUGAAAGAAAUUGGAAUAAUUUAUUUGCAGUAGAAAGGUAGAGAUGUUCCUCCCUUCAGUGAAUUUACAGUAUAGUCAUCUGGAUUUAUCAGGUGACUGGUAACAUAGAGAAGAGGAGACAGAGAAGCAAAAUUGAAUUUAAAAAGUAGACCUAAGAUACUGAAGGAAGACUUGGGCACUUGAGGCACAUUGGGUGAGGAACUGGCCCAAGAAACUGUCUAUAGAAGGCUAAAAAAACUGGGUUGAAUGAAAUAAUAAGGUGCUUUUAUUUUUCCCAGUUGAGAA